rnacentral:rRNA from 1 species
UGAAUAAGCCCCGGCUAACUCCGUGCCAGCAGCCGCGGUAAUACGGAGGGGUGCAAGCGUUACUCGGAAUCCCUGGGCGUAAAGCGCAUGUAGGCGGUUAAUUAAGUUAGAAGUGAAAGCCCACAGCUUAACUGUGGACAGCUUCUAAAACUGAUUAACUAGAGUCUGGGAGAGGAAGAUGGAAUUAGUAGUGUAGGGUAAAAUCCGUAGAGAUUACUAGGAAUACCGAAAGCGAAGGCGAUCUUCUGGAACAGUACUGACGCUGAGAUGCGAAAGCGUGGGGAGCAAACAGGAUUAGAUACCCUGGUAGUCCACGCCCUAAACGAUGAAUGUUAGUCGUUGGAGUGCUAGCCACUUCAGUGAUGCAGCUAACGCAUUAAACAUUCCGCCUGGGGAGUACGGCCGCAAGGUUAAAACUCAAAGGAAUAGACGGGGACCCGCACAAGUGGUGGAGCAUGUGGUUUAAUUCGAAGAUACGCGAAGAACCUUACCUGGCCUUGACAUAUACCAGAACCUGCCAGAGAUGGUGGGGUGCCUUCGGGAACUGGUAUACAGGUGCUGCACGGCUGUCGUCAGCUCGUGUCGUGAGAUGUUGGGUUAAGUCCCGCAACGAGCGCAACCCUCGUGACUAGUUACUAACAGCAUAGGCUGAGGACUCUAGUCAGACUGCCUUCGUAAGGAGGAGGAAGGUGGGGACGACGUCAAGUCAUCAUGGCCCUUACGGCCAGGGCGACACACGUGCUACAAUGGGGAGGACAAUGAGAAGCGAAAUCGCGAGAUGGAGCAAAUCUAUAAACCUUCUCUCAGUUCGGAUUGUAGUCUGCAACUCGACUACAUGAAGCUGGAAUCACUAGUAAUCGUGAAUCAGCCAUGUCACGGUGAAUACGUUCCCGGUCUUGU